GCUGUGGCUCAAUGGUAAAGCAUUUGCUUGGCAUGCAAAAGACCCCAGGUUCAAUCCCUGGCAUCACCA